AGAGGCCACACCUGUUCCCAUGCCGAACACAGAAGUUAAGCUCUCUUGUGCCGAUGGUACUUGGACCGCAGGGUCCCGGGAGAGUAGGUAGUCGCCGGGU
rnacentral:rRNA from 1 species